AGAGUUUGAUCCUGGCUCAGAGUGAACGCUGGCGGCGUGGAUUAGGCAUGCAAGUCGUGCGAUCUUAUCAUUGACGAGUGAAGCCCGCAAGGGUGGAUCAAGAAGAUGGUUUGAAAGCGGCAAACGGGUGAGUAACACGUGAGCAACUUUCCUUUGGGAUAGGCAUAGCUUCGUGAAAACGGGGGUAAUUCCUAAUAGUACCAUACUGUCGCAUGAUGGUUUGGUUAAAGGCAGGGACCGUAAGGCCUGCCGCCUAGAGAUGGGCUCGCGUCCUAUCAGCUUGUUGGUAGGGUAACGGCCUACCAAGGCUAUUGACGGGUAGCUGGUCUGAGAGGAUGGUCAGCCACACUGGGACUGAGACACUGCCCAGACUCCUACGGGAGGCUGCAGUCGAGAAUAUUUAGCAAUGGGCGAAAGCCUGACUAUGCGACGCCGCGUGAAGGAUGAAGGCCUUCGGGUUGUAAACUUCUUUUGUCAGGAAAGAACAUUCUGGCGUGAAUAACGACGGAACUGACGGUACCUGACGAAUAAGCCACGGCCAACUCCGUGCCAGCAGCCGCGGUAAUACGGAGGUGGCAAGCGUUACUCGGAAUCAUUGGGUGUAAAGGGCAAGUAGGCGGCAUGAUAAGUGAGGGGUGAAAUCUUCCGACCCAAUCGGAAAAUUGCCUUUCAAACUAUCUUGCUUGAGGCAGGAAGGGGGAAAUGGAAUUCUCAGUGUAAGGGUGAAAUCUGUAGAUAUUGAGAAGAACACCAGCGGCGAAAGCGAUUUCCUGGUCCUGUCCUGACGCUAAAUUGCGAAAGCUAGGGGAGCAAACAGAAUUAGAUACUCUGGUAGUCCUAGCCGUAAACGAUGAGCACUAGGUGUUGGGCCUUCUGGGCUCAGUGCCGCAGCUAACGCACUAAGUGCUCCACCUGGGGACUACGGUCGCAAGGCUAAAACUCAAAGGAAUUGACGGGGACCCGCACAAGCGGUGGAACAUGUGGUUCAAUUCGAUGAUACGCGAAAAACCUCACCAGGGCUUGACAUGUAGGUAGUAGUGAACUGAAAGGGGAACGAGCCGUCAAGUCCGGACACCUACACAGGUGCUGCAUGGCUGUCGUCAGCUCGUGUCGUGAGAUGUUGGGUUAAGUCCCGCAACGAGCGCAACCAUUUCCCCAUGUUGCUAAGGUAUCUGAGUCUUCGGAUUUGGAUAUCAGCACUCUUGGGGGACUGCCCGGGAUAACCGGGAGGAAGGUGGAGAUGACGUCAAGUCAGUACGGCCUUUAUGCCCUGGGCUACACACGUGUUACAAUGGCCGAUACAAAGGGUUGCCAACCCGUAAGGGGGAGCUAAUCUCUAAAAAUUGGCCCCAGUUCAGAUUGGAGUCUGCAAUUCGACUUCAUGAAGCCGGAAUCGCUAGUAAUGGGAGAUCAGCACGCUCCCGUGAAUACGUUCCCGGGUCUUGUACACACCGCCCGUCAAGCGAUGGGAACCAGGGGUACCCGAAGUCCUAUGUAGAUAGGCCGAAGGUAAAUCUGGUGACUGGCGCUAAGUCGUAACAAGGUAAC
rnacentral:rRNA from 1 species